UCUUCAUCUAUGGAUUACUGCUUGCUGAGUUAAUUUUCUAUUCAUGUGUUCUCAGCUGAUUGUAAUUUGAAUUACUCUGGAGUUGAAUGGUAUGGAAUGGAAUAACUAGCAAUCUGAAAAGACCUGCAGGGGUUCACGUGUUAUUUGGCAAGGUGGGAUGCUCUGCCAUUAAUCUAAUAGGUAAUUGGAGCUCCUUCAUGAUGUUGGAACUGUGGAAGGAGAUGAGGUACAGCCUAAUUUGUAACCUGCCUUCUUAAUCAAUUCAUCUUCAGUUAUAGAAGGAUGUGGUCCUGUUCUCAGGGCAUUUGGACAGAGGUUUAGGAGCAGCUCUGCUGUAGUCAGGACUUGCUCCAUGCAUCUGGCAAACUUCAGCAUAUCUGAAAGGAGGAAAGUGUGCUAAUUCACUUCUGCUAAUUGUAUUACUGAGCAAAUACAACGGUAACAAUACCGACCUCUGCUGCUUUUGUUGUUAUUCAGAAGCUGUGGGAAAAGAUGAGCAGUUGGCAUUACAUGUUACUGAACUUUGAAAAGGCCAUGUCUGAUUUCAGUGCUUAUAUUUUUUUCAGAUUUGUCCCAGUUAUUCUCUACGUCGGAAUCUGAAAUGGCCUCAUGUAUAGUUGUAGCUUUGUUCCAGAAAGGGAGAGACUGUCAUCUCUCUGUGCUAGGCAUAAAGGAAGAAAUAGAAUGUAAUGCUGGGAGGUCUUUUUAUUUUGUAAUUGCUAUUUGAGGUUCAUAAAUACAUGCUUUAUGUUCUGUGCACUGUGAUUCAAUUGUUAAACGCAGUGUGUGAUUCUGCUUAUCUUCAAGAGCUAGUGCCCUACAAUUACUAAAGGGGCAACAGUUCAACUAGGGAGUUUGUUGCUUUUUGAAAGGUGAUUUUAUGUUAUUGCUUUUACUUUUCUGAAA